AGCCAGGAUACAUUUUUUUUUUUUAAAAAGGUACCUCGCAUUUCUCAGUCUCUUUCACCUAAACCCAAAAACAGAGCUCCGUUCUUUACAUCAAACAUUCGGCAUUCAAAUCCAUAAGCAGAGGGGCAGAAAUUGGAACGAAACUUUGCACAUCCAGCUCACUCUCUCGUCUUUUGCUUAGCUAGACACCAGUCCAAGCUUCCAAGAGGAAAUUGCCCAAAAUCCCUCAAUCUCUUUCUUUCUCGUCGGUUGUUGUCCGCCAUUGUUGAGCUUCCACCAGACGCCAUUUGCACGCCAACCAGCUGCCAUUUCUGCCUCAGCAGUCAUCCCCAACCAAUUUUGUGACCCUUUGCGCUGCACAUUUUCUUUUCCCUUCGCAAAUGGCUUUCAAAUUCGUGGCUGUGCUCUGUAGCUCACAAACAGCAUAAAAGAACUUAUAACAGGUUCCAUAUACAGCUUGACUCGCUUUGGUUAACACUCUGCUUAGCAAGUUGUCAUAUCCAUAUUGUUGGAGAUGGAGGAGCUACGGCAACUCUCCCAAGCAUUUAUAUCAAUUUCACAAUGUUUCCGGGAGCUAAUCAUGUCACGGAUCAUUUAUCUAAGAGGGCUUCUCAUAGCUAAGCCUUUCAAAUUUCAUGGAUUUUGGAUGUCUCACAAUGAUUUCCCUCAGCUACUUCAUAAGGCAUGGCGUACUGAAUUUCAAGGUGACCCUAUGAGGACUUUCUGUUUGAAACUGAAAGAGGUAAAGAAGGCAUUAAAAGAGUUAAAUAAGAAAGAAUUCUGGGAUAUCUCUGCCAAAACUAUUCAUGCACAAGAGGCUCUAUAGUCUGCUCAAUUGGAGUCUAGUUCAUUGUAGUAGUAUUAUUGUAUAGCUUAAUUGGUUGUAGAAGUACUUUUGUGUAGCAGAUUCCUCUGCUCUUGUGUACAUUCAUGUUCUAUUCAAUAAAAUCCCUUUUUACGUAAAAAA